rnacentral:rRNA from 1 species
AUGAAGACGAUCCUGGCGUCGGAGACGAUGGAGAUCCCGGAGGAGGUGACCGUCAAGGUCUCCGCCAAGAUGAUCUCGGUGACGGGGCCGCGGGGGACGCUGACCCGCAACUUCAAGCACCUCAACCUCGACUUCCAGCUGCAGGAGGGCGGGCGGAAGCUCAAGGUGGACGCCUGGUUCGGCACCCGCAAGACCAUGGCCGCCAUCCGCACCGCCAUCUCCCACGUCCAGAACCUCAUCACCGGCGUCACCAAGGGCUUCCGCUACAAGAUGCGCUUCGUCUACGCUCACUUCCCCAUCAACGCCUCCAUCACCGCCGCCAACCGCGGCAUCGAGAUCAGGAACUUCCUCGGAGAAAAGAAGGUAAGGAAAGUUGACAUGCUUGAUGGUGUGACGAUCCUGCGGUCUGAGAAGGUCAAGGACGAGAUCGUCCUGGAUGGCAAUGACAUUGAGCUCGUCUCUCGCUCUGCUGCCCUGAUCAACCAGAAAUGCCACGUGAAGAACAAGGACAUCAGGAAGUUCUUGGACGGAAUCUACGUCAGCGACAAGGGCGCCAUCAAGGAAGAGUAG